rnacentral:rRNA from 1 species
UUCCAGACUCCUACGGGAGGCAGCAGUGGGGGAUAUUGCACAAUGGGGGAAACCCUGAUGCAGCGAUGCCGCGUGAAUGAAGACGGCCUUCGGGUUGUAAAGUUCUGUCGCAGGGGACGAAAAUGACGGUACCUGAAGAAGAAGCCCCGGCUAACUACGUGCCAGCAGCCGCGGUAAUACGUAGGGGGCAAGCGUUAUCCGGAUUUACUGGGUGUAAAGGGGGCGCAGACGGCGAUGCAAGCCAGGAGUGAAAGCCCGGGGCCCAACCCCGGGACUGCAUUGGGAACUGCCCCGCUCGAGUGCCGGAGGGGCAGGCGGAAUUCCUAGUGUAGCGGUGAAAUGCGUAGAUAUUAGGAGGAACACCAGUGGCGAAGGCGGCCUGCUGGACGGUGUACUGACGCUGAGGCUCGAAAGCGUGGGGAGCAAACAGGAUUAGAUACCCCUGUA